UAGGGAAUAUUGGACAAUGGGUGCAAGCCUGAUCCAGCCAUGCCGCGUGCAGGAAGAAGGCUUUCUGAGUUGUAAACUGCUUUUGCCAGGGGAUAAAAAGCCCAUGCGUGGGAAAUUGAAGGUACCUGGUGAAUAAGCCACGGCUAACUACGUGCCAGCAGCCGCGGUAAUACGUAGGUGGCAAGCGUUGUCCGGAUUUAUUGGGUUUAAAGGGUGCGUAGGCGGUGACUUAAGUCAGUGGUGAAAUACGGCAGCUCAACUGUCGAGGUGCCGUUGAUACUGGGUCACUUGAGUACUGAUGAGGUAGGCGGAAUGGACGGUGUAGCGGUGAAAUGCUUAGAUAUCGUCCAGAACACCGAUAGCGAAGGCAGCUUACUAAGGAGUAACUGACGCUGAGGCACGAAAGUGUGGGGAUCAAAC
rnacentral:rRNA from 1 species